GAUGAACGCUGGCGGCGUGCCUAAUACAUGCAAGUCGAGCGAACAGACGAGGCGCCUGCUCCGCUGACGUUAGCGGCGGAGGGGUGAGUAACACGUGUAUAACCUCCCUAUAAGACUGGGAUCACUUCGGGAAACCGGCGCUAAUACCGUAUAAUCUAUUGCACCGCGUGGUUCAAUAGUGAAAUGCGGUUUUGCUGGCACUUAUAGAUGGUUUCGCGCCGCAUUAGCUAGUUGGUAAGGUAACGGGUUACUAAGGCAAGGAUGCGUAGCCGACCUGAGAGGCGGAUAGCCGACACUGGAAGGUGGCCAGCGUCCAGGGGACUAAGAGACGCAGCAGUAGGGAACCGGCGGCAAUGGGCGAGAGCCUGACGGAGCAACGGCGAGCGAGUUACGAAGGUCCUCGGAGCGUAAUACCCUGCUAUUAGUUAAGAACAAAUGUGGAAGGAACCAUGGCCGUCUUGACGGUAACGAAUAAGAAAGCAACGGCUAACUACGUG
rnacentral:rRNA from 1 species